rnacentral:rRNA from 1 species
AGUGAACGCUGGCGGUAGGCCUAACACAUGCAAGUCGAACGGCAGCACAGUAAGAGCUUGCUCUUACGGGUGGCGAGUGGCGGACGGGUGAGGAAUAUAUCGGAAUCUACUUUUUCGUGGGGGAUAACGUAGGGAAACUUACGCUAAUACAGCAUACGACCUACGGGUGAAAGCAGGGGAUCUUCGGACCUUGCGCGAUUGAAUUAGCCGAUGUCGGAUUAGCUAGUUGGGGGGGUAAAGGCCCACCAAGGCGACGAUCCGUAGCUGGUCUGAGAGGAUGGUAGGCCACACGGGAGCUUGGACACCGCCAAGGGUACUACGAGACGGAGCAGUGGGGAAUGUGGGGCAGUAGGCGCGAGCAUGGUACAGCGGGACCGCGUCGGUGGAAGAGGCCUUCCGUGUGGGAAGACGGUUUUUUGGGAGAAAAAAGCAGCAGGCUGAGACGAAGCGUUUCUGACGGUACCGAAUGAAGAAGCACCGGCUAACUACGUG